CAAAAACAUAGCUACAUGUAUUUAUAUGUGGUAAUUUCUGCUCAAUGAAGUUUAAAUAGCCGCAGUACUCUGACUGUGCUAAGGUAGCGCAAUCAAUUGGCUUUUAAUUGGAGUCCUGUAUGAAAGAACACAUAAGGGGCUACUUUAUUUUUUGUAAUUAAUGAAUUUACUCCAAAAGUGCAAAUUCUUUUAUAUAAAUAAAAGACGAGGAGACCCUAGAAAUUUUAUAGACAAGGCUUUUUGUUGGGGCAACAAAGUAGCAAUAUAAUCUACUUUAAAUACAUGAAAGAUAUAUUUUGUAAGAUUAAAUUACUCUAGGGAUAACAGCAUAAUUUGCAAAAGUUUGUGACCUCGAUGUUGGAUUAGGGUAUUAACAUUUAAAAGAUUAAUGAUCAGCUCUGUU
rnacentral:rRNA from 1 species